rnacentral:rRNA from 1 species
ACUAACCCUAGCUCUACUAUCUAUCUAUAUAACAAUAAUAACUUAUAAAUUAAAACAUUCACCAUGAUAAAAGUAUUGGAGAAAGAAAAUUACUUUAAGAAGCUAUAGAAUAAGUACCGCAAGGGAAAGAUGAAAGAAUAAAUAAAAGUAUAAAUAAGCAAAGAUAAAAUCUUGUACCUUUUGCAUAAUGAAUUAACUAGAAAAAUUCUAACUAAAAGAACUGUAGCUAGAAACCCCGAAACCAAGCGAGCUACCUAAAAACAAUUUUUUGAAUCAACCCGUCUAUGUGGCAAAAUAGUGGGAUGAUUUUUAGGUAGAGGUGAAAAGCCUAUCGAGCUUGGUGAUUGCUGGUUACCCAACAAAUGAAUUUAAGUUCAACUUUAAAUUUACCCCAAAAACACUUAAUUCCAAUGUAAAUUUAAAAUAUAGCCUAAAGAGGGACAGCUCUUUAGGAAUGGAAAAACCUUUAGUAGUGAAUAAAUAUUAAUUAUAUAUUAACCAUCGUAGGCCUAAAAGCAGCCACCAAUAAAGAAAGCGUUCAAGCUCAACAUUAAAAACAACUAAUUUCACAAUUAAAAAUAAAUUCCUAUAUAACAUAUUGGGUUAAUCUAUUAAUAUAUAGAUGAAAUACUGUUAAUAUGAGUAACAAGAAACAUAAUUCUCCAAGCACAAGUUUAUAACAACUCGGAUAACCAUUGUUAGUUAUAGGACUAUAGAUAUUAAAUAUAAAAUAAAAGUAUCUAAAACUAAACCGUUGGCCCAACACAGGUGUGCUAUAAGGAAAGAUUAAAAAGAAUAAAAGGAACUAGGCAAGCACGAACCCCGCCUGUUUACCAAAAACAUCACCUCUAGCAUAACAAGUAUUAGAGGCAUUGCCUGCCCAGUGACUUAAGUUAAACGGCCGCGGUAUCCUGACCGUGCAAAGGUAGCAUAAUCACUUGUUCCUUAAUUAGGGACUAGAAUGAAUGGCUAAACGAAGGUUCAACUGUCUCUUAUUCUUAAUCAGUGAAAUUGACCUUCCAGUGAAGAGGCUGGAAUAAAACAAUAAGACGAGAAGACCCUGUGGAGCUUGAAUAAACUGACUUAAUUAUUAAACAAAACUUCCUAGUGGAAUAAAAUAAAUAGUAUAAGUCAUAUAUUUCGGUUGGGGUGACCUCGGAGAAUAAAAAAACCUCCGAAUGAUUCUAGCAUAGACCAACAAGUCAAAACAAAUUUUAAAAUCUCAUUGACCCAAAGCAUUUUGAUCAACGGACCAAGUUACCCCAGGGAUAACAGCGCAAUCCUAUUCAAGAGUUCAUAUCGACAAUUAGGGUUUACGACCUCGAUGUUGGAUCAGGACAUCCCAAUGGUGCAGAAGCUAUUAAUGGUUCGUUUGUUCAACGAUUAAAGUCCUACGUGAUCUGAGUUCAGACCGGAGCAAUCCAGGUCGGUUUCUAUCUAUUUACAAUUUCUUCCAGUACGAAAGGACAAAAGAAAUAGAGCCACCUUUUUUAAAGCGCUCUUAACCUAAUUUAUGAAUAAAAUCUAAAUAUAAUAUAUAUGUAUAACUUAAUAAACCCAGAUAAGGC